ensembl:lncRNA
UGAUUGGACAGUAUUCCAGGAACGUGUGUGUGUGUGUGUGUUGAUUGGACAGUAUUCCAGGAACGUGUGUGUGUGUGUGAUUGGACGGUAUUCCAGGAACGUGUGUGUGUGUGUUGAUUGGACAGUAUUCCAGGAACGUGUGUGUGUGUUGGUUGGACGGUAUUCCAGGAACGUGUGUGUGUGUGUUGGUUGGACGGUAUUCCAGGAACGUGUGUGUGUGUUGAUUGGACAGUAUUCCAGGAACGUGUGUGUGUGUUGGUUGGACGGUAUUCCAGGAACGUGUGUGUGUGUGUUGGUUGGACGGUAUUCCAGGAACGUGAACGUGUGUGUGUUGAUUGGACGGUAUUCCAGGAACGUGUGUGUGUGUUGAUUGGACGGUAUUCCAGGAACGUGUGUGUGUGUGUUGAUUGGACAGUAUUCCAGGAACGUAUGUGUGUGUUCAUGGGCAUAGUAAGAGAGCUAGUUUCCAUGUACAACUCGUAGUAUUGAAGGUGGUAUUCCAGGAACGUGUGUGUGUGUUGGUUGGACAGUAUUCCAGGAACGUGUGUGUGUAAUGAUUGGAUGGUAUUCCAGGAACGUGUGUGUGUGUGUUCAUGGGCAUAGUGAGAGAGCUAGUUUCCAUGUACAACUCGUAGUAUCAGCACACACACACACAUCAUAUAUGCCACUCACUUAACCUGAAACUACUGUAUGUGCGUGUGUGGAAAAAGCGAGGGUAAUUGCCAGACUAACCCUGCUGAUGGGGCCUCUCUUGGGGGGGCUAACAACCCAGAUUCUAUGUCAACGUGUGUGUGUUUGUGUGUGUCGCACGUGUCCUGCAGCUAGAUUUUAUUUUUACAAUGGCUGUGGCUUUAACCCUAACCCAAUGGCUGUGGCUUUAACCCUAACCCAAUGGCUGUGGCUUUAACCCUAACCCAAUGGCUGUAGCUUUAACCCUAACCCAAUGGCUGUAGCUUUAACCCUAACCCAAUGGCUGUAGAUUUAACCCUAACCCAAUGGCUGUAGCCCUCACCCUAACCCUAACCCAAUGGCUGUCACAUUAACCCUAACCCAAUGGCUGUAGCUUUAACCCUAACUCAAUGGCUGUCACAUUAACCCUAACCAAA